rnacentral:rRNA from 1 species
GAUGAACGCUAGCGGCAGGCUUAAUACAUGCAAGUCGAGGGGCAGCGCGGUGUAGCAAUACACUGGCGGCGACCGGCAAACGGGUGCGGAACACGUACACAACCUUCCUUCGAGCGGGGAAUAGCCCAGAGAAAUUUGGAUUAAUACCCCAUAGUAAACUGACCCGGCAUCGGGAUGGUUUUAUAGAUUUAUCACUUGAAGAUGGGUGUGCGGCUGAUUAGGUAGUUGGCGGGGUAACGGCCCACCAAGCCGACGAUCAGUAACUGGUGUGAGAGCACGACCAGUCACACGGGCACUGAGACACGGGCCCGACUCCUACGGGAGGCAGCAGUAAGGAAUAUUGGUCAAUGGACGAAAGUCUGAACCAGCCAUGCCGCGUGGAGGAUGAAGGUCCUCUGGAUUGUAAACUUCUUUUAUAUGGGACGAAAAAAGGUUUUUCUAGACCGACUGACGGUACCAUAUGAAUAAGCACCGGCUAACUCCGUGCCAGCCGCCGCAGUAAGAC